GCAGUCGGACGGUCUGUCGCUGGAGACCACAGGUCUAAAGAGGAAAGUCCGGGCAGCACAGGGCAUCCCACUUCCUAAUAUAGAAGCAAUCCGCGAGGGUUGAGCAAUGCAGAAGAAAAUAACAACUGCCUCCAGGCAGAAAUGGUGAGAAGGUGAGGUAAGAGCUCACCAGCGGCAUGGUGACAUGCUGGCUGUGCAUCUUGGGAGCUGCAAGUUCAUGUAAACUACCGCCAUCAGGGUAGCCCGCCCGAUAGUCUCGGUAGAGGGUAGAACGCUAGAGCCAUGGGGUGACUCAUGGAGUGGAUAAAUGACAGACACGUUCAUAGAACGUACAGAACCCGGCUUACAGUCCGACUGCUUUU
rnacentral:RNase_P_RNA from 1 species